CGUAGGGGGCGAAGCGUUGUCCGGAUUUAUUGGGCGUAAAGAGCGUGUAGGCGGUUAUUCAGGUCCGCUGUGAAAACUGGAGGCUUAACCUCCAGACGUCGGUGGAAACCGAAUAACUAGAGUCCGGAAGAGGAGAGUGGAAUUCCUGGUGUAGCGGUGAAAUGCGCAGAUAUCAGGAAGAACACCCGUGGCGAAGGCGGCUCUCUGGGACGGUACUGACGCUGAGACGCGAAAGCGUGGGGAGCGAACAGGAUUAGAUACCCUGGUAGUCCACGCCGUAAACGAUGAAUGCUAGCCGUUGGACAGCUUGCUGUUCAGUGGCGCAGCUAACGCAAUAAGCAUUCCGCCUGGGGAGUACGGUCGCAAGAUUA
rnacentral:rRNA from 1 species